GAAAUGCGAUAAGUAAUGUGAAUUGCAGAAUUCCGUGAAUCAUCGAAUCUUUGAACGCACAUUGCGCCCUCUAGCAUUCCGGGGGGCAUGCCUGUCCGAGCGUCAUUACGCACCCUCAAGCCCCGCUUGUGUGAUGGGCCCCGGCGUCUCGUUCGCGAGACGGGCCCGAAAGGCAGCGGCGGCGUCGACCCGAUGAGCCCGAGCGUAUGGGGACUUCUGUCACACGUUCGCGGUGCGGACCGGCGCCUGCUUGACUUUUCUGAUUAUCCAGGUUGACCUCGGAUCAGGUAGGGAUACCCGCUGAACUUAAGC
rnacentral:misc_RNA from 1 species